rnacentral:rRNA from 1 species
GACAGAGGCCCCAAGCGUUAGGCGGAAUCACUGGGCUUAAAGCGUGUGUAGGCGGAUCGUUAAGUGUCUUGUGAAAUCCCACGGCUCACCCGUGGAACUGCUGGGCAUACUGGCGAUCUUGGGCCAACUAGGGGCAGCCGGAACAAGCGGUGGAGCGGUGAAAUGCGUAGAUAUCGCUUGGAACGCCAAAGGUGAAAACAGGCUGCUGGGGUUGUGCCGACGCUGAGACACGAAAGCCAGGGGAGCAAACAGG